ACGCUGGCGGCGUGCCUAAUACAUGCAAGUCGAACGAGAGCGACCGGUGCUUGCACUGGUCAAUCUAGUGGCGAACGGGUGAGUAACACGUGGGUAACCUGCCCAUCAGAGGGGGAUAACAUUCGGAAACGGAUGCUAAAACCGCAUAGGUCUUCGAACCGCAUGGUUUGAAGAGGAAAAGAGGCGCAAGCUUCUGCUGAUGGAUGGACCCGCGGUGCAUUAGCUAGUUGGUGAGGUAACGGCUCACCAAGGCCGUGAUGCAUAGCCGACCUGAGAGGGUGAUCGGCCACAUUGGGACUGAGACACGGCCCAAACUCCUACGGGAGGCAGCAGUAGGGAAUCUUCCGCAAUGGACGCAAGUCUGACGGAGCAACGCCGCGUGAGUGAAGAAGGUUUUCGGAUCGUAAAACCCUGUUGUUAGAGAAGAACAAGUGCUAGAGUAACUGUUAGCGCCUUGACGGUAUCUAACCAGAAAGCCACGGCUAACUACGUGCCAGCAGCCGCGGUAAUACGUAGGUGGCAAGCGUUGUCCGGAUUUAUUGGGCGUAAAGCGAGCGCAGGCGGUUCCUUAAGUCUGAUGUGAAAGCCCCCGGCUCAACCGGGGAGGGUCAUUGGAAACUGGGGAACUUGAGUGCAGAAGAGGAGAGUGGAAUUCCAUGUGUAGCGGUGAAAUGCGUAGAUAUAUGGAGGAACACCAGUGGCGAAGGCGACUCUCUGGUCUGUAACUGACGCUGAGGCUCGAAAGCGUGGGUAGCAAACAGGAUUAGAUACCCUGGUAGUCCACGCCGUAAACGAUGAGUGCUAAGUGUUGGAGGGUUUCCGCCCUUCAGUGCUGCAGUUAACGCAUUAAGCACUCCGCCUGGGGAGUACGACCGCAAGGUUGAAACUCAAAGGAAUUGACGGGGACCCGCACAAGC
rnacentral:rRNA from 1 species